rnacentral:rRNA from 1 species
ACUCAAAUGAAUUGACGGGGGCCCGCACAAGCGGCGGAGCAUGCGGAUUAAUUCGAUGCGACGCGAAGAACCUUACCUGGGUUUGACAUGCACGGUGUGCCGGUAGAGAUGCCGGUUCCUUGAGUGGGUCGUGCACAGGUGGUGCAUGGCUGUCGUCAGCUCGUGUCGUGAGAUGUUGGGUUAAGUCCCGCAACGAGCGCAACCCUUGUCCCAUGUUGCCAGCGGUUUUGCCGGGGACUCAUGGGAGACUGCCGGGGUCAACUCGGAGGAAGGUGGGGAUGACGUCAAGUCAUCAUGCCCCUUAUGUCCAGGGCUUCACGCAUGCUACAAUGGCCGGUACAGAGGGCUGCGAUACCGUGAGGUGGAGCGAAUCCCUUGAAAAGCCGGUCUCAGUUCGGAUCGGGGUCUGCAACUCGACCCCGUGAAGUCGGAGUCGCUAGUAAUCGCAGAUCAGCAACGCUGCGGUGAAUACGUUCCCGGGCCUUGUACACACCGCCCGU